rnacentral:rRNA from 1 species
UAUCACAAUCGCGGGAAACCGUGAUAAGGGGAUCUCGAGUGCCAGCAUAUAAUGUUGGCUGUCCAGAUGCUUAAAAAGCAUUUGUUAGCAAGGGCCGGGCAAGACCGGUGCCAGCCGCCGCGGUAACACCGGCGGCCCGAGUGGUAACCGUUAUUAUUGGGUCUAAAGGGUCUGUAGCCGGCCAAGUAAGUCCUUUGGGAAAUCUGGUAGCUCAACUAUCAGGCUGCCAGGGGAUACUGCUUGGCUUGGGACCGGGAGAGGUGAGAGGUACCUCAGGGGUAGGGGUGAAAUCUUGUGAUCCUUGAGGGACCACCAGUGGCGAAGGCGUCUCACCAAAACGGGUCCAACGGUAAGGGACGAAAGCUAGGGGCACGAACCGGAUUAGAUACCCGGGUAGUCCUAGCCGUAAGCGAUGCUCGCUAGGUGUCAGUCACGGUGCGACCGUGAUUGGUGCCGUAGGGAAGCCGUGAAGCGAGCCACCUGGGAAGUAUGGCCGCAAG